rnacentral:rRNA from 1 species
UCCCAGCAGUCCAAGUCGCAGCCACAUUUGUUGGGUCUAAAACAUCCGUAGCUUGCUCUUCAAGUCUCAUGUGAAAUCUGGCCUCUCAAGGGUCGGGCGUGCAUGAGAUACUGUUGAGCUUGAGACCGGGAGACGUAACGAGUACGAAUAGGGUAGCGGUAAAAUGUGUUGAUCCUAUUCGGACUAACAAUAGCGAAGGCACGUUAUGAGAACGGAUCUGACAGUGAGGGAUGAAGGCUAGGGGCGCAAAGUGGAUUAGAUACCCAUGUAGUCCUAGCAGUAAACACUGCACACUAAACAUUGGGGCCUCCUCGAGAGGUUUCAGUGCUGUAGCGAAGGCGGAGAGUGUGCUACCUGGGAAGUAUAGUCGCAAGACCGAAACUUAAAGGAAUAGGCGGGGGAGUACUACAACGAGUGACGCGUGCGGUUCAAUUAGAUUCUACACCGUGAACCUCACCAGGAUCGACAGCAGAAUGAAUGUCAGUCUAAAGGGCUUACCUGACACGCUGAGAGGAGAUGCGUGGCCGACGUCAGCCUGUGCCGUGAGGUGACCAGUUAAAUCUGGUAACAGGCGAGACCCGUGUGUUUAUUUGCAUUGUACAAUAAACAGACUGCCGUGGUAACACGGAGGAAGGUGCGGGCUACGUUAGGUGAGUACGUCCCGAAUACCCUGGGCUACACGCGCGCGGCAAUGCUGCAUUCAAAGGGCUGCAACUCCGAAAGGAGAAGCCAAUCUCAUAAACUGCAGCUUAGUUCAGAUUGAGGGUUGCAACUCACCCUCAUGACGCUGGAAUUCGUAGUAAUCGGAUUUUAUCAGAGUCCGGUGAAUAUGUCCCUGCUCCU